GUGGCGUGGCGUAGCGUGGCUCGACGUGACGUGACGGGCGACCGGCAAAGCGGCGAAGUAGGGAGGAGACGCCGCGGGCAGCAAGGAGCACGGGCAGUGGAAGCUGGCUCUAAGAGCUCCUCCUCUGCUGCGGCCGUCGCUACGGGCCGAAAAGGAGAACGGAAAGAAGGGAGGGAGCUACCCAGAUUCUCAGGGCUGUGUGCUAACACGGAAAGGAGGGGGCGGGAGGAGUUGGCUGCUUCCAAUAGAGCCCACUCUGGGGCUGGACAAGCACCCCGCCUUCUGAUCCUCCUCCCUCUGCUUUCCUCCUCCCACCUCUUACCCCUAGCCCGAGGCCUGACCCUGAAACCUUCCCAAGCUUGGACUCUAUCGUGGGGCUCCAGACUCCACCCCGAGUCCAAAGUUUUCCAGCAGCCGAUGAUGGCAGAUUUUUUUAAAAGGGCAUCUCAAACCGGAAGGGGUUAUAAUGUGCAAGAAGUAGCCACUAAGUUGUUUUGUGGUGAUGUGUGUUCAAAGGUUACAUCAGACUUUCUUCAGAAAGUGGGGGAAGUGAUCCAGGAAGCAGGAGUCAGAUAUUCGAAGCUCAUUGUCCAUUGAGUUAUUGAAGUCCAAGGGCAAGAAAGAAGUCAACACAAUGGAUGGUCUGGGAGGCAGUAGAAGCCCUUGUUAUCUUUGGUGUCUGAUCAAGCUCUAAGAACUCCAUAGCAUCUGCUUCCAUAGCUUUCAUGGCAUUUAGAAAUAAUUGUUCUCAUACAACCAUUCCACUUGGGGAAGUCUUUACAUUUUUGUGGUACACAUUCCCUUAAUUCACUGAUUGGUUUGAAGGCUGUCAGUUGCCUUCAAUGAGCAACCAUUUUUUAAGCAAUUACUGUCAGACAUUGGGCUGAAUGCUGGGAGUAAGACAAAUAGAUGGUUCCUCAAGGAGCUCACAUUCUACAGGAAGAGACAAUAUUCAAAUACUUUAUGACAUUGUAAUGGAGGGAUUGGUUGGUGGGAAAGAGAAAACAGGAUCCAGGAGAGACAGCUGAUGGUUUAAGGUUGACUCAGAGAGAGAAGAGGGAGUUUUGAUUAAUGUCCCCCUUCAGCCUUCCCUCCUCAGCCAUGGCUGCUCUCACAGGUUGGCCCUUGUCCCCCUCUACUACUACAGCCUAAAAGGUUUCUUCUCAGGAAGAUGUCUCCCCCCCUUCAAGCUGUCCCACUCACACUUGAGUCAAUUUGGGAAAGGAUAACCAUUUUAAUAUAAAUUAAGUCAACUAGGGUAACACAAACAAAAUGGCUGGCAAGGAAAGAAUGGGUGAGGAAAAUGGGGAAGGUAUCCCUUCUCUAACUAUCCCUUUUCCUUCUCUCUUCAAGUUUGGAGGAACUCAGGCUUUGGCAGCCUGAGUCCCCUGAGAGUCAGGUUGACUGGCCCUGGUCUUUGAGCCCCUGGCCAUAGUUAGAUCCAGGGCACCAGGAGAUGUGCAGUAAAGUUUUGACUGAGGCUCAAAUGCCUUAUUCAGGUGUUCUUCAGUUGGGAAUUUGGGGGAAGAAUGUCCAGCCACCAGGAGAGGAAAAAGAUGAGUAUGUCCCAGGAGAAAGACUUGGCCAGACCUCUUCUUAGGUUUCUCAAGGUUGAGAGAGAUCCCAACUGAAAUCCCAACCAGAAUCUUCUGGUUUCUCAACAUUCCAGACUUCCUGGGACCCUUCCCCUGUCUACGGGAUCAGAUCCAUCAACUCUUCAGCCUGUCACUCUUCCCAGAAUGCAGACCCUCUGUCACAACAUACUAGAUAUAUUUAAUAUAAGAAGAAGGUAAUCUCAGAGAAGGCACUAACAAUGAAGCUGGGGAGAGGUUGGGAGCAGAAAGAACUGGGAAAGUUUUCCUGUAGAAAAGUAGGAUUUAAGCUAACCUUUGAAGGAAGCCAGGGAAGGCAAGAGGCAGAGUUGGGUUGAAGGAGAACAUUUCAAAUGGUAGCCACACGAGGAAUUCUGCCAUGUUGGAGAUUACUAGGCUAAAGAAGUUCUGAAUCCAACAUGGUUCCUUUUAAGAGAAAUGAAAUGAAAAACUGGAUCAUGAAGAACAAAUUUUGGGGAACUGCCUUCUUUUGCUUGAUUCAUAACCAUGCUGGCAGUUCUGUUAAGGAUUGGCUCUCAGCUAAGGCAAUCUUCAGGGGAGCAGCUGCUUGUGGAUGAGAAAAUGUUGGUAUCCAACUGGCUGUGCAUAUGAACCACCUGGGGAUUUCUGGAAAUGUCUGAAAACAGUUUUUUAUCAUAGAUCCCAUGAUUUCUGAGAGUCUCAUUUGGAAAUGGAAAAUGUCAUAUUAUGUUUUUGCUGUCUCCUUAGGACAUGGCUAUUAAUGCCCUGACUUAGCCCAGUGGGAGAGAUGAGUGGUUCUCGUGUGUGGGAAGGUCUGGAGGGUGGAGAGUGAAGAAGGUUGAUGGCACCACAAUAAUUUAGAGUGAGAGAGUUCAAGUGGAAGUUGAGGAAAGAGUUAAGUGCUUGCUCUGUCUGCGGAAAGGUCUCUAGUACAGCUUAGGUUUUCAUUUCAAUUGUAUUCUUUUGAUUUGGUUUUUAAAAAAAAAUGGGCAGGAAUGGAGUCCCCACCAUACUGUCAGAGGCUGAGUAUGUACUAGAGACAUCAUGUACAAGGACCUAUUCACAAACAAAAAUAUUGAAUUGUACCGGUACAAAUAAAAUGUGAGCAUUUCCAUUGUAAGAGCA
rnacentral:lncRNA from 1 species